GUUGAUUUUACACUUUGCUUUACAGCAGUGCCCCCCAAGUGCCUCAGAUAGUAACCCUUGGAGUGAAGAGAAGACUUUCUAGGAAGAUAUGUCUGCUGGCCUUACUCAUUUCAUGAUACUUGUGAUGGGGUGGGUAGUUGGCCCAAAAGCCUUUCCAUAAGGCAGCCAAUAAAACUCUGAAUCCUCAAUGAAAAAGCAAAAGCAAAGAUGAACUGCAAAUGGGGGAUUGUAAUUAUAUUUAAAUGACCCCAGUUAGAAAUGUCCUUUGCUAACACACUUAUCCUUUAAAGAAUGCUCAUGACACCCUCCACUCCCACCCCUCCACUUCAAAACCAAAAUCCCUUCCCCUUAACUAGUACCGCAUCCAUAUUGAACCUUUUGGUUUUUUCCCCUUAUCUGCCCACCCCUACCCUCUGACUUGCCUAUGCGGCAGAAGCAACCAUGUCACUAUAUUCUACCUGCCACACAAUCAAGAAUUUUCUAAUUGUAAGGAAAACAGUCUCCUGAGCACGCACAAAAACAUGCAAUGUGCAAUCAUCACAUUUUGGAAAUGGGGGCCCAGAGAGGUAUUUUCCAUGAAAAGUAAUUUACAUUUUUCAGCUACAAAUGCAUCUUUUCUUCUAAGAAGAAUCAUCUGUACAACAGAUUUGUAUCUGAAAAUAGAAGGCUGGAUUUAUGCAAAAAUGAUCUCAGGGGAUCAUCGCAGAAACACAAAAAAAAGUAAUUUUCUGCCAAAAUUAUGCAGAGCACUCACAAGAGAUGUUUUUCAAAUAUGACCACUAAACACAUAAAAUACACAAAUGAAAUGGAAUUAAUACAAACCAAGAGUUAUACAGCGAUCUUAAAUUAAAGAGUUUGGGGAUGUCAGACAAACCAUCAGAGUAAGAUUCCUGAGUUUAAAUAUUAUAGAAAUGUCAAAGCCCAUAAAUUUCACUCUACAAAGAAACUCUUUCGCUUUCACAAGGAAUGGCCUCUCCAGUUUAUUUCAACAUGCCGCCAGUGUAUAGGACAGGAAAGGUAAUUCUCUAAAAUUCCCAAACUCUAUUAAUCUUCCCAAAUAUGAAAUUGUUACUAUCAUCCCCAGAGGAGAUGAGUGAAUUGAACUCUGAAACUUUCAAGACACUAAUUAAAAGAAAGCUUCACAGGCCAGGCAUCACAAAACAUUAGGAACGUGAACCAGCCAGGUAAGGUGNNNNNNNNNNNNNNNNNNNNNNNNNNNNNNNNNNNNNNNACGAUGGGAUCGGGGACAUCUUUAAUUUCACUGCUUUUCAAAAUCAGGGAUCCCAUAUAACUUUGUGUGUGUGAACAGACACAGAAAGUCGAAUGGAAAGAGCUCUGAGUUCUUAGGACCAGGCCUGCACUCAGCUAGCACUUAACUUUAGGCAAUUCAUUAACCUUUCUGCGGCGUCGAUUUCUUGGUCUGUGAAAGAAGAAAGCUACACAAAAACAUCUCUCAAGACUCCUUCUAGCUUUAACAGCUCGUGUGUGGUAGAUAAAUCAUGGUAGGAUUAAACAGGAGUCACCCCUGAAUAAUUUUGGAGGAGGUCAAAUUCCACCUACGUUAUAAGAAUGAACUGAGAAUCACUUCAGAGGCCCCCAAAAGUCAUAUGGUACUUUUUCUUCUACCGGAAGAUAGGAAAUAAGCUCCAUUUUAUAGACUAGAAAGGGAACAGGAGACAGAGAAAGUCCCACCUCUAUCCGUCUUCACUUUGACAUUCCACAUGCAGCCGCUGUUUAUGUUGGCUGUCAUCCUUUGAUUUCCACUCCAGUUUGCAGCACGAGGAUCACUGGGUAACCUCCGCCUUCAAGACUCUUAUGAGCUCUCAACCCCCAGGCCAACAGUGCCUAUGUAUCUGGCGGGCUCUCCCUGACAGUCUCUAGCACUUGGCAAGAGAA
ensembl:lncRNA